rnacentral:tRNA from 1 species
CAAUUUAGAGCUUGAGUUGAAGCGUUUUAGUUACAUUAAAGAGUUAAUCUUAAAAGAUUUAAAUUGA